rnacentral:rRNA from 1 species
GACGAACGCUGGCGGCGUGCCUAACACAUGCAAGUCGAGCGAACGGACGAGAAGCUUGCUCCUCUGAUGUUAGCGGCGGACGGGUGAGUAACACGUGGAUAACCUACCUAUAAGACUGGGAUAACUUCGGGAAACCGGGUCUAAUACCGGAUGAUAUUUUGAACCGCAUGGUUCUAAAGUGAAAGACGGUCUUUGUUUCUGUAAUGGCUGGCUCCGCGUUGGAUUAGCUAGUUGGUAAGGUAACGGCUUACCAAGGCAACGAUGCAUAGCCGACCUGAGAGGGUGAUCGGCGACACGGGAGGUGAGACAGGGACGCGACGACUAGGGGAGGGCGCAGUCGGGAAUCGGACGCAAUGGGGGAGAGCCUGACAGAGCAACGCGGAGUGAGUGAUGAAGAAGCUCGGAUCGGAAAGCUCUGUUAUUAGGGGAGAACAUAUGUGAAAGUAACAGAGCAGAUAUUGACGGUACCUGAAGAAAAAGCCACGGCUAACUACGUG